rnacentral:rRNA from 1 species
UACAGAGGGUGCAAGCGUUGUUCGGAAUUAUUGGGCGUAAAGGGAGUGUAGGCGGCUUGUUAAGUCUUCUGUGAAAUCUACGGGCUCAGCCUGUAGCGUGCAGAGGAAACUGGCGAGCUUGAGUGUCGGAGAGGAUAGGGGAAUACCCGGUGUAGAGGUGAAAUUCGUAGAGAUCGGGUGGAACACCAGUGGCGAAGGCGCCUAUCUGGCUGACAACUGACGCUGAGACUCGAAAGCAUGGGGAGCAAACAGG